UAUUCUCAUUAUUGUCACUUCCAUAAUAAAAAAGGAUCUCCCCAACAAUUUCAUGAAGGCGUACUUGCGGAAAUUGAAAUAUAUAAAACCUGUCGGACAAAGCUGAGUGCACGGGCAUGUUCUUACGCGAGAAAUGAUCGUGAAUUUGUGCCACUCCAUAUCGGACUAUAUCAUGUUUUCAUUCGAGACUGGUUGAAGGUAUUUCCACGCGAACAACUGCACAUUCAUCGACUUGAUAGUUGGAAAGAAAAUUGCACAAAGGUCUAUUCUGAAAUAUUAAAGUUUUUAGAGCUUGAUAGCCUACCAGACGAAACAGUAAGGGAGAUUUGUUCUCAUGAGAUUGCAAAUUCAGGAGUUCGUCGGAAAGCGAAGGUUGGCCUUAUGAUGAAUGAAACAAGAAAACUGCUACUAGAUUUUUAUGCAGAACCAAACAAGGAACUCAGUAAAUUGCUCGGAGAUGAUCGUUAUAUGUGGAAGUAAGAUGAUGAUUAAAAUAUGCGUCGAUUGAUAUCUCAAUUCAAU